rnacentral:rRNA from 1 species
UUAUGGCUCAGGAUGAACGCUAGCUACAGGCUAACACAUGCAAGUCGAGGGGUAGCAGGGUAGCAAUACCGCUGACGACCGGCGCACGGGUGAGUAACACGUAUCCAACCUUCCCAUAACUCAGGGAUAGCCUUUCGAAAGAAAGAUUAAUACCUGAUAGUACUUUUUCAAGGCAUCUUGAGAAGUUAAAGAUUUAUUGGUUAUGGAUGGGGAUGCGUUCCAUUAGAUAGUUGGUGAGGUAACGGCUCACCAAGUCUUCGAUGGAUAGGGGUUCUGAGAGGAAGGUCCCCCACAUUGGUACUGAGACACGGACCAAACUCCUACGGGAGGCAGCAGUGAGGAAUAUUGGUCAAUGGGCGAGAGCCUGAACCAGCCAAGUAGCGUGAAGGAUGAAGGUCCUAUGGAUUGUAAACUUCUUUUAUAGUAGAAUAAAGUGAUCCACGUGUGGAUUUUUGUAUGUAUACUAUGAAUAAGGAUCGGCUAACUCCGUGCCAGCAGCCGC